GAUGAACGCUGGCGGCGUGCCUAAUACAUGCAAGUCGAGCGAACAGACGAGGAGCUUGCUCCUCUGACGUUAGCGGCGGACGGGUGAGUAACACGUGGAUAACCUACCUAUAAGACUGGGAUAACUUCGGGAAACCGGAGCUAAUACCGGAUAAUAUAUUGAACCGCAUGGUUCAAUAGUGAAAGACGGUUUUGCUGUCACUUAUAGAUGGAUCCGCGCCGCAUUAGCUAGUUGGUAAGGUAACGGCUUACCAAGGCAACGAUGCGUAGCCGACCUGAGAGGGGGAUCGCCCACCCGGAACCUGAAAACCGUUCCAGCCACCGAGGGGAGGCAGAGAUAGGGAAUCUUCCGAAAUGGGCAAAAGCCUGACGGACCACCGCCGGUGGAGUGAUAAGGUCCUGCGGACCGUAAAACUUUUUUAUAGGGAAAAAAAAAAUGUGGAGGUAAAUGUGCCCGUCUUGACGGUCCCUAAAGAGAAGCCCAGGGCAAACAGCAA
rnacentral:rRNA from 1 species